rnacentral:rRNA from 1 species
AUUCGAAGCAACGCGAAGAACCUUACCUAGGCUUGACAUCCUUCUGACCGAGGAUUAAUCUCCUCUUUCCCUCCGGGGACAGAAGUGACAGGUGGUGCAUGGUUGUCGUCAGCUCGUGUCGUGAGAUGUUGGGUUAAGUCCCGCAACGAGCGCAACCCUUGUCUUUAGUUGCCAUCAUUAAGUUGGGCACUCUAGAGAGACUGCCAGGGAUAACCUGGAGGAAGGUGGAGUGGACUCGAACUCAAUCAUGCGUCGACCGCGGCCGCGGUCGUGGUAGGCGGAAGGCAACGACCAGGGAGUAGGGAUG